rnacentral:rRNA from 1 species
GACGAACGCUGGCGGCGCGCUUAACACAUGCAAGUCGAGCGAAGCGGCGGACGGGUGAGCAACACGUGAGUAACCUGCCUUAGACAUUGGGAUAGCCUCGGGAAACCGGGAUUAAUGCCAAAUGGUCUAAGAUGGACUCGCGUCCCAUUAGCUAGUUGGUGGGUAACGGCCCACCAAGGCGCCGAUGGGUAGCCGGCCUCAGAGGGUGAACGGCAACAUUGGAACUGAGAAACGGUCCAAACUCUACGGGAGGCAGCAGGGGGGAAUAUUGCACAAUGGAGGGAACUCUGAUGCAGCGACGCCGCUUGAACGAAGAAGUCGUUAGAGUCGUAAAGUUCUUUUAUAUGGGAAGCGGUACCAUAAGAAAAAGCCCCGGCUAACUACGUGCCAGCAGCCGCGGUAAUAC